UACAGGGGGGGCAAGCGUUGUUCGGAAUUAAUGGGCGUAAAGGGCUCGUAGGUGGCCAACUAAGUCGGACGUGAAAUCCCUCAGCUUAACUGGGGAACUGCGUCCGAUACUGGAUGGCUUGAGUUUGGGAGAGGGAUGCGGAAUUCCAGGUGUAGCGGUGAAAUGCGUAGAUAUCUGGAGGAACACCGGUGGCGAAGGCGGCAUCCUGGACCAACACUGACACUGAGGAGCGAAAGCCAGGGGAGCAAACGGG
rnacentral:rRNA from 1 species